AGUACAGACGAGUUUGAUCCUGGCUCAGGAUGAACGCUAGCGGCAGGCCUAACACAUGCAAGUCGAGGGGUAGUUACUUUCGGGUAAUGAGACCGGCGCACGGGUGCGUAACGCGUAUGCAAUCUACCUUUUACAGGGGAAUAGCCCAGAGAAAUUUGGAUUAAUGCCCCAUAGUAUGUAUGAAUCGCAUGGUUUAUACAUUAAAGUUCCAACGGUAAAAGAUGAGCAUGCGUCCCAUUAGUUAGUUGGUAAGGUAACGGCUUACCAAGACGAUGAUGGGUAGGGGUCCUGAGAGGGAGAUCCCCCACACUGGUACUGAGACACGGACCAGACUCCUACGGGAGGCAGCAGUGAGGAAUAUUGGACAAUGGGCGCAAGCCUGAUCCAGCCAUGCCGCGUGCAGGAAGAAGCAUCUAUGGUGUGUAAACUGCUUUUGUACGGGAAGAAACACUCCUUCGUGAAGGAGCUUGACGGUACCGUAAGAAUAAGGAUCGGCUAACUCCGUG
rnacentral:rRNA from 1 species